rnacentral:lncRNA from 1 species
CUGUAUCACAAAAUAAAAUUUUUUUUGUAUGUGAUAAUUUAUAAAAUGUACAAGUAGGUGGUUUAUAAAUUAUAUUAUUUUCAAAAUGAUUUAUUUGGGAAAUAUUUUAAGAGAUUUGGUGAGGCAUGCAACCAUUCCUUUCAUUUCGACCACUGACUACUCUCUAGCAAUACAUAAUCUGGAUAUGUCUUUAUUUGCUUUCGUCAUAUACAUAUUAUUUGGUAAUCUCAUUUCCAAUAUUGAAGAAAUGCUACAAAAUUUUGUUCAUUGUUUCAAAGAAAAUCUUUCAACAAGUCAUCAAAUCUUAUCUCAUUUAU